rnacentral:rRNA from 1 species
GACGAACGCUGGCGGCGUGCCUAAUACAUGCGAGUAGAACGCUGAAGGAGGAGCUUGCUUCUCUGGAUGAGUUGCGAACGGGUGAGUAACGCGUAGGUAACCUGCCUGGUAGCGGGGGAUAACUAUUGGAAACGAUAGCUAAUACCGCAUAAUAGCAGUUGUUGCAUGACAACUGUUUGAAAGGUGCAAUUGCACCACUACCAGAUGGACCUGCGUUGUAUUAGCUAGUUGGUGGGGUAACGGCUCACCAAGGCGACGAUACAUAGCCGACCUGAGAGGGGGAGCGGCCACACUGGGACUGAGACACGGCCCAGACUCCUACGAGUGGCAGCAGUAGGGAAUCUUCGGCAAUGGACGGAAGGCUGACCGAGCAACGCCGCGUGAGUGAAGAAGGUUUUCGGAUCGUAAAGCUCUGUUGUAAGAGAAGAACGAGUGUGAGAGUGGAAAGUUCACACUGUGACGGUAUCUUACCAGAAAGGGACGGCUAACUACGUG